rnacentral:rRNA from 1 species
AUUGAACGCUGGCGGCAGGCCUAACACAUGCAAGUCGAACGGCGCGGCGGACGGGUGAGUAAUGCCUAGGAAUCUGCCUGGUAGUGGGGGAUAACGUACGGAACUGGGCGCUAAUACCGAAUACUCUUAGCUGAGCCUAGGUCGGAUUGGCUAGUGGGUGGGGUAAAGGCCAACCAAGGCGACGAUCCGUAACUGGUCUGAGAGGAUGAUCAGUCACACUGGAACUGAGACACGGUCCAGACUCCUACGGGAGGCAGCAGUGGGGAAUAUUGGACAAUGGGCGAAAGCCUGAUCCAGCCAUGCCGCGUGUGUGAAGAAGGUCUUCGGAUUGUAAAGCACUUUAAGUUGGGAGGCGUUACCAACAGAAUAAGCACCGGCUAACUUCGUGCCAGCAGCCGCGGUAAUUC